UACGAAGGGGGCUAGCGUUGUUCGGAAUUACUGGGCGUAAAGCGCACGUAGGCGGAUACUUAAGUCAGGGGUGAAAUCCCGGGGCUCAACCCCGGAACUGCCUUUGAUACUGGGUAUCUCGAGUCCGGAAGAGGUGAGUGGAAUUCCGAGUGUAGAGGUGAAAUUCGUAGAUAUUCGGAGGAACACCAGUGGCGAAGGCGGCUCACUGGUCCGGUACUGACGC
rnacentral:rRNA from 1 species